rnacentral:rRNA from 1 species
ACUCCUACGGGAGGCAGCAGUGGGGAAUAUUGGACAAUGGGCGCAAGCCUGAUCCAGCCAUGCCGCGUGAGUGAUGAAGGCCCUAGGGUUGUAAAGCUCUUUUGUGCGGGAAGAUAAUGACGGUACCGCAAGAAUAAGCCCCGGCUAACUUCGUGCCAGCAGCCGCGGUAAUACGAAGGGGGCUAGCGUUGCUCGGAAUCACUGGGCGUAAAGGGUGCGUAGGCGGGUCUUUAAGUCAGGGGUGAAAUCCUGGAGCUCAACUCCAGAACUGCCUUUGAUACUGAAGAUCUUGAGUUCGGGAGAGGUGAGUGGAACUGCGAGUGUAGAGGUGAAAUUCGUAGAUAUUCGCAAGAACACCAGUGGCGAAGGCGGCUCACUGGCCCGAUACUGACGCUGAGGCACGAAAGCGUGGGGAGCAAACAGGAUUAGAUACCCUGGUAGCGACUGA